rfam:Aspergillus glaucus CBS 516.65 unplaced genomic scaffold ASPGLscaffold_1, whole genome shotgun sequence.
GGUCGAUUGGCCCAGUGGUUAAGGCGCCCGUCUUACACACGGGAGAUCAUGGGUUCGAUCCCCAUAUUGGCCA